ACUCUGGUAUUGAUUGGUGCUUGCAUCAUGAUUUACAUUUGAGUGAGUGGCGAACUGGUGAGUAACACGUGGGAAACCUGCCCAGAAGCGGGGGAUAACACCUGGAAACAGAUGCUAAUACCGCAUAACAACUUGGACCGCAUGGUCCGAGCUUGAAAGAUGGCUUCGGCUAUCACUUUUGGAUGGUCCCGCGGCGUAUUAGCUAGAUGGUGGGGUAACGGCUCACCAUGGCAAUGAUACGUAGCCGACCUGAGAGGGUAAUCGGCCACAUUGGGACUGAGACACGGCCCAAACUCCUACGGGAGGCAGCAGUAGGGAAUCUUCCACAAUGGACGAAAGUCUGAUGGAGCAACGCCGCGUGAGUGAAGAAGGGUUUCGGCUCGUAAAACUCUGUUGUUAAAGAAGAACAUAUCUGAGAGUAACUGUUCAGGUAUUGACGGUAUUUAACCAGAAAGCCACGGCUAACUACGUGCCAGCAGCCGCGGUAAUACGUAGGUGGCAAGCGUUGUCCGGAUUUAUUGGGCGUAAAGCGAGCGCAGGCGGUUUUUUAAGUCUGAUGUGAAAGCCUUCGGCUCAACCGAAGAAGUGCAUCGGAAACUGGGAAACUUGAGUGCAGAAGAGGACAGUGGAACUCCAUGUGUAGCGGUGAAAUGCGUAGAUAUAUGGAAGAACACCAGUGGCGAAGGCGGCUGUCUGGUCUGUAACUGACGCUGAGGCUCGAAAGUAUGGGUAGCAAACAGGAUUAGAUACCCUGGUAGUCCAUACCGUAAACGAUGAAUGCUAAGUGUUGGAGGGUUUCCGCCCUUCAGUGCUGCAGCUAACGCAUUAAGCAUUCCGCCUGGGGAGUACGGCCGCAAGGCUGAAACUCAAAGGAAUUGACGGGGGCCCGCACAAGCGGUGGAGCAUGUGGUUUAAUUCGAAGCUACGCGAAGAACCUUACCAGGUCUUGACAUACUAUGCAAAUCUAAGAGAUUAGACGUUCCCUUCGGGGACAUGGAUACAGGUGGUGCAUGGUUGUCGUCAGCUCGUGUCGUGAGAUGUUGGGUUAAGUCCCGCAACGAGCGCAACCCUUAUUAUCAGUUGCCAGCAUUAAGUUGGGCACUCUGGUGAGACUGCCGGUGACAAACCGGAGGAAGGUGGGGAUGACGUCAAAUCAUCAUGCCCCUUAUGACCUGGGCUACACACGUGCUACAAUGGAUGGUACAACGAGUUGCGAACUCGCGAGAGUAAGCUAAUCUCUUAAAGCCAUUCUCAGUUCGGAUUGUAGGCUGCAACUCGCCUACAUGAAGUCGGAAUCGCUAGUAAUCGCGGAUCAGCAUGCCGCGGUGAAUACGUUCCCGGGCCUUGUACACACCGCCCGUCACACCAUGAGAGUUUGUAACACCCAAAGUC
rnacentral:rRNA from 2 species